rnacentral:rRNA from 2 species
UGAUUUCAUUUGAGUGAGUGGCGAACUGGUGAGUAACACGUGGGAAACCUGCCCAGAAGCGGGGGAUAACACCUGGAAACAGAUGCUAAUACCGCAUAACAACUUGGACCGCAUGGUCCGAGUUUGAAAGAUGGCUUCGGCUAUCACUUUUGGAUGGUCCCGCGGCGUAUUAGCUAGAUGGUGGGGUAACGGCUCACCAUGGCAAUGAUACGUAGCCGACCUGAGAGGGUAAUCGGCCACAUUGGGACUGAGACACGGCCCAAACUCCUACGGGAGGCAGCAGUAGGGAAUCUUCCACAAUGGACGAAAGUCUGAUGGAGCAACGCCGCGUGAGUGAAGAAGGGUUUCGGCUCGUAAAACUCUGUUGUUAAAGAAGAACAUAUCUGAGAGUAACUGUUCAGGUAUUGACGGUAUUUAACCAGAAAGCCACGGCUAACUACGUGCCAGCAGCCGCGGUAAUACGUAGGUGGCAAGCGUUGUCCGGAUUUAUUGGGCGUAAAGCGAGCGCAGGCGGUUUUUUAAGUCUGAUGUGAAAGCCUUCGGCUCAACCGAAGAAGUGCAUCGGAAACUGGGAAACUUGAGUGCAGAAGAGGACAGUGGAACUCCAUGUGUAGCGGUGAAAUGCGUAGAUAUAUGGAAGAACACCAGUGGCGAAGGCGGCUGUCUGGUCUGUAACUGACGCUGAGGCUCGAAAGUAUGGGUAGCAAACAGGAUUAGAUACCCUGGUAGUCCAUACCGUAAACGAUGAAUGCUAAGUGUUGGAGGGUUUCCGCCCUUCAGUGCUGCAGCUAACGCAUUAAGCAUUCCGCCUGGGGAGUACGGCCGCAAGGCUGAAACUCAAAGGAAUUGACGGGGGCCCGCACAAGCGGUGGAGCAUGUGGUUUA